rnacentral:SRP_RNA from 1 species
GCCGGGUGUGGUGGCGCGUGCCUGUAGUCCCAGCUACUCAGGAGGCUGAGGUGGGAGGAUCACUUGAGCCCAGGAGCUCUGGGCUGUAGUGCGCUAUGCCGAUCGGGUGUCCACACUAAGUUCGGCAUCAAUAUGGUGACCUCCCGGGAGCAGGGGACCACCAGGUUGCCUAAGGUGGGGUGAACCGGCCCAGGUUGGAAACGGAGCAGGUCAAAACUCCCGUGCUGAUCAGUAGUGGGCUCGUGCCUGUGAAUAGCCACCGCACUCCAGCCUGGGCAACAUAGCGAGACCCCAUCUCU